rnacentral:rRNA from 1 species
UUUUCGAUGACCCUAGCGGGAUGUUUUACACAUGCAAGUCGAACGGCAGCACGAGAUAAGCUUGCUUAUCUUGGUGGCGAGUGGCGAACGGGCGAGUAAUGUAUCGGAACGUGCCCAGUAGCGGGGGAUAACUACGCGAAAGCGUGGCUAAUACCGCAUACGCCCUACGGGGGAAAGGGGGGGAUCCUUCGGGACCUCUCACUAUUGGAGCGGCCGAUAUCAGAUUAGCUAGUUGGUGGGGUAAUGGCCUACCAAGGCCGCGAUCUGUAGCUGGUUUGAGAGGACGACCAGCCACACUGGGACUGAGACACGGCCCAGACUCCUACGGGAGGCAGCAGUGGGGAAUUUUGGACAAUGGGGGCAACCCUGAUCCAGCCAUCCCGCGUGUGCGAUGAAGGCCUUCGGGUUGUAAAGCACUUUUGGCAGGGAAGAAAAGGCACGGGCUAAUAUCCUGUGUCGCUGACGGUACCUGCAGAAUAAGCACCGGCUAACUACGUGCCAGCAGCCGCGGUAAUACGUAGGGUGCAAGCGUUAAUCGGAAUUACUGGGCGUAAAGGGUGCGUCGGCGGUUUGGCAAGAAAGGUGUGAAAUCCCAGAGCUUAACUUUGGAACUGCCUUUUUAACUGCCAGGCUAGAGUAUGUCAUAGGGGGGUAGAAUUCCCCGUGUAGCAGUGAAAUGCGUAAAGAUGCCGAGGAAUACC